rnacentral:rRNA from 1 species
GACGAACGCUGGCGGCGUGCUUAACACAUGCAAGUCGAACGGAAAGGCCCUGCUUUUGUGGGGUGCUCGAGUGGCGAACGGGUGAGUAACACGUGAGUAACCUGCCCUUGACUUUGGGAUAACUUCAGGAAACUGGGGCUAAUACCGGAUAGGAGCUCCUGCUGCAUGGUGGGGGUUGGAAAGUUUCGGCGGUUGGGGAUGGACUCGCGGCUUAUCAGCUUGUUGGUGGGGUAGUGGCUUACCAAGGCUUUGACGGGUAGCCGGCCUGAGAGGGUGACCGGCCACAUUGGGACUGGAGUACGGCCCAAGCUCCUACGGGGGGGAGGCGGGGGGGAUAUUGGACAAUGGGCGGAAGCCUGAUGCAGCAACGGCGCGGGGGGGAUGGCGGGCUUCGGGUUGUAAACCGCUUUCGCCUGGGACGAAGCGGGAGUGACGGUAAUGGGUAAAGAAGCACCGGCUAACUACGUG